GGCUCUGAUUGCCUAGUGGUUAGAGCAUCUGCCUGAGAUGCGGGAGGUCAUGGGUUUGAUCGCCGAUUGAGUCA